rnacentral:lncRNA from 1 species
CCCACCCUACCUACUAAGGAUGUCAAUAGGUAUAGAUAUCCAAAAUUUUAUUCGAACUCGAAUCCGAAUGAAACAGAUAUAUUCGAUGGAUAUGGUUAUAAAAAAUAGAAAUUCGACGGAUAUACAUUCGGAUAUGAAUUUUGAUUGUACCCGAUCCGAACCCGAACUCGGUCUGAAUCCGAAUUUAUUUUGUAUUAUAUAUAUAUAUAUAGAGUUGAUCUAUGAUACUUUUACAAGUAUCAUCCCCAUGUUGCUAUCACGUUUUUAGCCAUUGGAUCUACUUUUUGAUUACAAAUAACCCUGGGAUCAAACACUAUUCCACCUACCACCACCUACCACCACCUACCACCAUCAUCUCAACCUCACAUCUCUCCAUCCAAGGACUAAAAACACACAAGUAUCACUUGGAUGAUACUUGUAAAAGUAUUCUAGCCCUACUAUA